rnacentral:rRNA from 1 species
UACGGAGGGUGCAAACGUUGCUCGGAAUUAUUGGGCGUAAAGCGCACGUAGGCGGUCUAGCAAGUCGGGUGUGAAAGCCCUCAGCUUAACUGAGGAAGUGCAUUCGAAACUACUAGGCUUGAGUACUGAAGAGGACGACGGAAUUCCCGGUGUAGAGGUGAAAUUCGUAGAUAUCGAGAGGAACACCAGUGGCGAAGGCGAGUCUCUGGACGACUCCUGACACUGAGGCACGAAAGCUGGGGGAGCAAACAGG